AGUUCUCUGUCAAUCUUUUAAUCCACAGUGAAAUAAGAAGAAAGCCAGAGAAGCAGGAAUGCAAGGAAGAAACUAGUUCAGAAGGACCUCCAAAGAGAAGAGAAGAGGAAGAACCCAGAACUAGUGAAGACUAUACAUCCAGAGAGGGAGCAGUGGAAGGUCUCCAAUACUCAACUCUAGAGUUCAAAGAGGCUGGCCAGCAACAAAUCAAGAUAAGCAAUGAGAUCUCUUCUGUUAUAUAUGCCCAGAUGCCCACAGGCCACUGAUCCAAAACAGUUGGCUAGUUUGCUUUGAUCAAGUCAUGGAUGGACAUUUAUCUCAGAGGGGAAAAGGGAAAACAAUUAAUGUGUGUAUUUUACUUUUAAUGUCGUAAUCACUUGAGAUGGCAGGUGCGAAGUCUGCACGCACCAGCUGUACAAUUGUGCCAAUUGUGAAGGUGCUAUUCCAACAAUAGGCAGGGUAUAGGGUUUUUAACUUUAAAGAACCCACCCGCUGUCACCAAUUGCACAGACUGUUCUUAAAUUCUGCCACCAAUUAUACAGGUGUGGAUGAUUAUGGAUGUAAUUAAUCUCAGGCCUCAAUUGUUGAUAAGAAUUUGUUAUAGGGGAGGCCAAUUAUUACUUGUAAAUUAAGGUAACUGCCACCAACGUGAGGUAUUGCCGAUGAGAUCUGGCUCCCCAGACGCAGAUUAAUGGAGAUGACACGGUCUUCAACAAAAGUUAAUAAGUUUAUUAUGUACAAAGCGUAUGGUUGCAGGCUGUUAAAUAACUUGGAAUAACUUAUAGAACUUUGAAUGUAACUUGGUUUGCAAUACAGUUCACUCUUCUAGAUGACACAACUUGUGAUUGACUUUUACUGAGGUGAAGCACUUUAUUAAACAAUGUUUCCUAAUGUGAAUAGCCUCCCAAUUUGAUCUUUUCUUGAUCAAAUCCCAGAUCCCAGUAUUUAUAUUCCGCCCUUCUCACCCCAAAGGGGACUCAGAGUGCAUAACAGAACAUAUA